AGGUAUAUUUACCCCUUUUCUCUUAUACUUUUUAUUUUCUUAAUGGGCCUAAAAAGUCGUGAGUGCAAAUAAAAAAUAUCUCAUGAAUAAUCUUCACAAUCGGACAGAAAAUAUUUCAUGAAUAAUCUUUACAAUCAGACAGUCUUCCUAACAGAAGAGUAUUUGGAACAAAACAUGAAGUUGGAAAGGUAAAAGGAGAAAAUGAAAAACAGGCGAGGCAGUGUUGGAAGCACUCAGGUGUUGGUCAUACUACACCUCCUACUCAGUGAUUGGACUCGGAAACAACUUGUGUUGACUUGAAGUGGUGAGCUUUCAUACUUUGGAAGGCUCCAUUUCUUUCUUUGAGUUUUCUUAUGUCUUUUUUGGUUUAGAUUGGACAUUGGUUUUGGCUAUGAUCGGGGGCAUGUACCGACAGAAUAUUCUUGGAUUUCUUUUAGAGGCUUUGUAUGGACAAACUGUGGACUUGGUUAUAUUAUGGUAUGGAUAUGGUAUUACUUUUGUUUUA